rnacentral:rRNA from 1 species
CAAUAGCGUAUAUUAAAGUUGUUGCAGUUAAAAAGCUCGUAGUUGAAUUUUUGCUUGCCGCCGAUGUCGGAACUUCCGUACGUUCGGCGGCGUGCAUCCUUGGGUGGAACCUGUGUGGCAUUAGGUUGUCGUGCAGGGGAUGCUCAUCGUUUACUGUGAAAAAAUUAGAGUGUUCAAAGCAGGCUUACGCCGUUGAAUAUAUUAGCAUGGAAUAAUAAGAUAGGACCUUGGUACUAUUUUGUUGGUUUGCGCACCGAGGUAAUGAUUAACAGGGACAGUUGGGGGUAUUCGUAUUCCAUUGUCAGAGGUGAAAUUCUUGGAUUUCUGGAAGACGAACUACUGCGAAAGCAUCUACCAAGGAUGUUUUCAUUAA